rnacentral:rRNA from 1 species
UACGGAGGGGGCAAGCGUUAUUCGGAAUCACUGGGCGUAAAGCGCGCGUAGGCGGCUUCUCAAGUCCUUCGUUUAAUCCUCCGGCUCAACCGGAGACCGGCGGAGGAUACUGGGUGGCUGGAGUUCGGGAGAGGGAAGCGGAAUUCCGAGUGUAGCGGUGAAAUGCGUAGAUAUUCGGAGGAACACCGGUGGCGAAGGCGGCUUCCUGGACCGAUACUGACGCUGAGGCGCGAAAGCCAGGGGAGCGAACGGG